rnacentral:rRNA from 1 species
UACGUAGGGUGCAAGCGUUAUCCGGAAUUAUUGGGCGUAAAGAGCUCGUAGGCGGUUCGAUAAGUCGGACGUGAAAUCUCCACGCUCAACGUGGAGGGGCCGUUCGAUACUGUCGUGACUCGAGUCCGGUAGGGGAGUGUGGAAUUCCCGGUGUAGCGGUGAAAUGCGCAGAGAUCGGGAGGAACACCCGUAGCGAAGGCGGCACUCUGGGCCGGUACUGACGCUGAGGAGCGAAAGCGUGGGGAGCAAACAGG